rnacentral:snoRNA from 1 species
AUGCAUAUUUCAUUGACCUGCUUUCUCAUAUGUGUGAGUAAUAUUAUUUAUGAGCUAUACAAAGAGUUGAAGGUUAACUAGCAGUAUAACUAAAUAGUAUUGCUGUCAGCCUUCUUUAGAUAAUU